rnacentral:rRNA from 1 species
UACGAAGGGGGCUAGCGUUGCUCGGAAUCACUGGGCGUAAAGGGUGCGUAGGCGGGUCUUUAAGUCAGGGGUGAAAUCCUGGAGCUCAACUCCAGAACUGCCUUUGAUACUGAGGAUCUUGGAGUUCGGGAGAGGUGAGUGGAACUGCGAGUGUAGAGGUGAAGUUCGUAGAUAUUCGCAAGAACACCAGUGGCGAAGGCGGCUCACUGGCCCGAUACUGACGCUGAGGCACGAAAGCGUGGGGAGCAAACAGG